rnacentral:lncRNA from 13 species
AUGCCAACACGCCCAGCUAGUUUUUUGUAUUUUAGUAGAGAUGGGAUUUCACUAUGUUGCCCAUGCCUCGAACUCCUGAGCUCAGGCAAUCUGCCCACCUUGGUCUCCCAAAAUGCUGGGAUUACAGGUUUGAGCCACGGUGACCAGCCGUUAACUAACUCUUCGAGUUGGAGAAGUAGGAGAGGACACAGAAAGAUGCUGGGCUUAAGCGUUGACUUCCAUAUGCUUGGAAAUUCUGCUGGGAAAGAAAACAGAAGAGGAAAAUGGAAAUUGCAUAUAUAUGGAACCGGCCCGGGUCUUGUCCGCCAUCCACAUUCAGAAUGCUGGAAACAGUUGAAAAGAACAUCGAGGCAAAGCUUGGGCUGCUUUGAACAACAGAGAGAUGGUAUUUCCAGACAAGGGAAUAAAUUCCCAGAAGCAAGUGGCCAAGGAGCGAGCAUCGUGGAGAGCAGAGUUGAAGAAGCCCAUAUUCCGUGUCUCCUGCUGACUUCCGUUCCCCCUAAACACUGACCCCCCCCAGUCUUCACUAGCAGAUAUUCACAUUUUCCUCCCUACGCCACUGUAGCCUGUAGGCCCCUAAAUUCCAGAGCCUGCUGGAGCACUAAACAGCACUUGCGGGGGUGCCAUGUCUAGCGGGUCCAUGGGAAUGAGAACUCUGGGGUUGUGCAGUCCACACCCAGCACAACUGUAAGCUCCUUUAACUCCGGGCUCACAGCCAGGUGAAAAUGCCAGCUUUAUUAUGCUAAUUAGACUAAUGAUCUGCUGACUUUUGGAGUAAGAGGUUUUAACCUCCCUGCUCAGCACAAGCAGAAGGAGGGAGUUUUCAGGAGACAACAGCGCCUCAGGGGGCCCCUGGCAGCCUCUCCUGCCCCCAUGCUGAGGACUAUGUCCAAAAGUUGCCAACUCAGCCUGGGGGUGGGGUGUUGUCAGCUGGGUCUGAGACCCUCUCAGGUGUCACCUGCUUCAUUAUCCUUUCCUGGUGGGGUGUUCUGGCCUCCGGAGCAUCUGGAUGGGUUCCAGGAUAUAAAUGUGACACUGUUAUUGCAUUAAUCUAGUAGAGCUGAAUCCCCUGAAAACAGUGACAAGGUUUGGGCAGCUGCAGUCUUAAACACCAGGAAGCCAGGUGGGUAAAUACCUGGAUUUGCAGCCUCAUUGCUUGUCAGUGCCCUGGGGUAGAGCACGAGACUCAGCAGGUGGUUCCAGUUCCUGACCGGGGCUGGGCUGGGUGCUCCUGGGGCUCCCCUUCCCUGCCCAGAGACCCGCUGCUCUGGUGCCCCUUGUUUUUUGAGGGAGGGAAAUGGUAUCCACCAGGGGCUGCGAGGGUCUCUCUGAGUGCCACUCUGACACUUUCUGCUGGGUUCCCUCUAUGCUCUGUCCCUAUGGCUCCCCCCACCCCAUGCCCAUCCCCUCCCUUCUCUGCCAUCGUCCUCCCUUUCAUGGCAGUCAGCCCACUGCCCCUCGCAGCUGAUCUCUCCCUUGAGCCGCCGGUGGUGUGAUUCAUCUCCCUCUGGUGCACUCAGGGCUGGCCACGCUGCUGCCUGCAGCUUGCACUAAUCCUAAUAGCAGCCACAGCUGAUAUGUGAAUUGCUCUUCAGAGUUCAGGAGGCUUCCGGCCUCACAGGGCCCUUGGAUCCUCACAAUAAUCUCUUGAAAAUGGUAGAAUUUGGAUGCUUUGUAUACAGAUGCAUUUAUUAGGUUUUAAUAAACAUUUCACUUUCUCAGUCA